UAUCUUUAUUUCAUUACAUAUUUCCGAGUGCGAAAUCAACUCUCUUAACUAACUUACAGAGCUCUUCCUCUACCAUUACAUUUAUCGUUCUUACUGCCAAACAUGCAGGUCUUCUCAUCAGAAAGGGCGCAGAAACUUUUGCAGCGUAACUAGUGCGCGAGGCAUUGCGACCGUUCAGUCCAAACGCCAAAGUCGAAAUUGAUGGUUUAUUGAUUAUUAAAUCCGGCCAGUGGCGGUUAGCGCGUCUGUUGCCUGUAACCAGGACGUUGCGGGUAUAAGGUUCAUCGUUGCACCCAAUGGGGGGCAUAUGUGCUCUUGAAAAGGACACUUAAUAGGAAUUGCCCCAACUAAGUGUUCCUUAUGGCUUGUCGAUACCAUCAUUAAUACAUACCAAAAAAUCUCCCAAAAAUAGUCAAGAGCGGCAUAGAGGCGUGUUAAACAGAACGCCCAUAGGUUAUCCGACUAUCGUUGUUCUACCACUUAGAAAUCAAUAAGUAGUUGCAAAUCUGCAUUUACUACCCCGUGGGUCGGUGGGUGUUAAAAAAGCGUAGCCUAUUACUGAGUUGGUAAGCACGCUAAACACUAUACUAUAUUUCAUACAAAGUAUUGUAUUUCAGUAGCGCCAAUACAAAGUCAUUACAAAAACACACAUGGUAGGUUUAAAAAGUUAUAUAGCAACAUACGACACAACACAAUCGGCGAUUAACGCCGCUUUCAGGAGCCACCAAAAUGAAUUGAUUGCCAGCACAAAGUGGCAAAACGGUUAAUCGAGCUGACUAUAUGGUAAAACUUCUGUACAAGUUGGGCGUGACGGGCCGCUGUGGCCACGCACGCUAAUACUGCUCCUAUUGCGUAAUGAUGCUGGAAAGCGUUGCUGUUAGUGAUUGUGGAUGUUAUAUGGCGAAAGUGAAAUCCGGUAUGCGACGGUUAUUAGUAAAGUGAUAGUUAGGCCUACAGCGUUACGAUAACACUAUUAAAUAAUCGGCGACGAAAGGAAUUUGCAUAAACUAUGGGUUUUUAGCGCGUUUUUCAGCGAGUUCGGUGUCAAAGUUGUUGUUUGGGGGGCACUUAAGCUGUGACAGACCUUUGCCCAUGCAUGCGUGUC